rnacentral:lncRNA from 1 species
CUUAACAGCCAACCCAUCAGACCGUUUGGAAAGUAGUCUGUUAUCUUUGGGAGUGAGAAGGUUCCCGGCCACCACCGCAUCGGUUAUAUCAUUCUUCAUCACAGAGUCCUCAACGGUAAGAGGACAAGUAUGGGAUAAGAAUGAUGGGCACCAUAUGUUGUCUUGAGAAGGCAUGGCUACCUCUUUACCAAAGUUCAAGUCAAAACGACGGUCGGAUGGGCCAGACAUUCUUAGAAAUGAUGAAGGAGAAAUGAGGUGCAAUAAAUCUCUGAAGUAGGGGGAAAAUUCCUACAAGCAAUAACUCUCUGAAUGUACUUCUUGCACACAAUUGGUGCCCUUAUAAAAGAAAAGCCAACAGGGCCGUUGGUUCAAAAAUCGAAGAGGCACCACUCUCCGGAUUCUGAGGAGACACCACUUUCCACACACAACAUCAGCUCCUCGGGUACCACAGAUAACUUUGCCAAAGAUCUCUAACAAAGUUUAGACACAUAAAUUUUGAAGGUCCAGCUACCCUACUAUUACCCACAUGGGUAAAGGAACAGCACCACUGCUUGAUAACUAGAAAGUCCCAAUGUGUGUCAACCUUCGUGUUCCGUGGCAAGGCAGAAUGGCAAAAAUGUCCAACCUUUACUCACAUUCGAGAAAACACUCCCAACAAGAUUGCUUGCUCAAAAAUCGAAGAGGCACAGCUUUCCGAAUCUCGAAAGCCAAACUCCUAACAUGAUUACGUGCUCAAAAAUCAAAGAGGCACCGCCCUCCAAAUCUCGAGAGCCAGACUCCCAACAGGAUUACUUUAUCAAAAAUCGAAGGGACACUGCUCUCCGAAUCUCAAAAGCCAGACUCUCAACAUGAUUACUUUCUCAAAAAUCGAGAGACACUACUAUCCGAAUCUCAAGAGUCAGACUCCCAACAGGAUUACUUUAUCAAAAAUCGAAUAGACACUACUCUCCGAAUCUCGAGAGCCAGACUCCCAACAGAAUUACUUUCUCAAAAAUCGAAGAGACACUGCUCUCCGAAUCUCAAGAGUCAGACUUCCAAUAGGAUUGCUUUCUUAAAAAUCGAAGAGGCACCGCUAUCUGAAUUUUGAGAGCCAAACUUCUAACAGGAUUACGUGCUCAAAAAUCAAAAAGGCAUCGCCCUCCGAAUCUCGAGAGCCAGAUUCCCAAUAGGAUUACUUUCUCAAAAAUCGAAGAGAUACUGCUCUUCGAAUCUCAAGAGUCAGACUCCCAACAGGAUUGCUUUCUCAAAAAUUGAAGAGACACCGUUAUCUGAAUCUCGAGAGCCAGAUCCCCGACAGGAUUGCUUGUUCGAAAACCGAAGAGGCACCGCUCUUCGAACUUCGAGAGCCAGAU